rnacentral:rRNA from 1 species
UUCGCAAUGCCCGAAAGGGUGACGAAGCGACGCCGCGUGGGUGAGGAAGGCCUUCGGGUUGUAAAGCCCUGUCAGGAGUUAAGAAAUGUAAGUGCGCUAAUAUCGUGCUUAUUUGACAAAGGCUCCAAAGGAAGCCACGGCUAACUCUGUGCCAGCAGCCGCGGUAAUACAGAGGUGGCGAGCGUUGUUCGGAAUUAUUGGGCGUAAAGAGCACGUAGGUGGGUUUGCAAGUCAGAUGUGAAAGCCUUCUGUUCAACGGAAGAAUUGCAUCUGAAACUGCUAAUCUUGAGUAUAGGAGGGGAGAAUGGAACUUCUGGUGGAGCGGUGAAAUGCGUAGAUAUCAGAAGGAACGCCGGCGGCGAAAGCGAUUCUCUGGCCUAUUACUGACACUCAGUGUGCGAAAGCUAGGGGAGCAAACGGGAUUAGAUACCCCGGUAGUCCUAGCCGUAAACGAUGGGCACUAAGUAGAGGGGU